rnacentral:misc_RNA from 1 species
GAAUUUAAUGAUAGAUUAACCACUAAUUUUAUUAAUUAUAAAAUAAUUUAAUUUAUAUAUUGCCUUUAAAUAUAGGAAUAAAAGUUUUAUAUUAAAGAAUUUUUCAUCACUAAUUUCAUCAUUAAAUGAUAUGCGAAAUCGCCGUGGAAUUAAAUUGGCACUUGAGAAUAUUUAGUCAUAAUUUUGUAGUGUUGCCAAAUGGAGCACAAAAUUGUCACCAUAAUUAGCAAUGGAAAUGGUGACAGUACUUUUGUAUUGGGAGAUUUUCAGUCAUUAAUUUAAUCGCUAAAUGGUUUUAAAAUUAUAUGGUUCUUCAGCUUUCUAUAGUUAUUUUCAUUAAAUAAAUUAAAUCUUUAUAAAAUUAUGUUACUUUUGGCUAGCAUAAUUUCUAUUUUGUUAAUAAUUGAUUUCAUAAUUAAUUAGAAAAAAAAAUGAAUUCUAAUAUUCCAUGAAUAGGAAAUGGCUAAACAAAAUUCAUGCAUGAUUUGGAUCCAUUAUUAUUCAACUGCAUGUGUCAAUAAUAUAUAUAUUUUGUUUUACAGGAUAUAGACCAACCGAGCACAU